GCAGAAUUAUAUUAGGCUGACUACUGCAACAGCAUGAAAUUAACCAGAAUCAACAACCAUCUUUGAUUAAUCCAAAAUGAUAAUCUCCCCAUUAAUUUUUAAUUAAUCAAUAGUCAAAAGCAGCUUAAUUAUUGGCAAGGCUUUUACAUAGAAAAGAUGCAAACUUCAUAUAUGGAAUGAAAACAAAGCAAUCUUGGAGGCUUUGGCAGAAGCAGAAG
rnacentral:misc_RNA from 1 species